UUGAGAUAUGAUGUGCAGAGGUUGAUGCGUGGUGUUUAUUCGUCGAGAGAGUGUGUUAGACAGGGUUUUGCAUUGGGUUUGACUGCUUUGCUGGCCACAAUUCCUAGCAUCAAAGUGGACUCCUUGUUGAAACUUAUAGUUAAUUUAUUGGAGGUCCCGUCAUCGAUGAAGGGUCAGGAAGCAAGGGAUUGCCUUCUGGGUUGCUUAUUUGCAUAUGGUGCUAUUGC